GAAGAACAAAAUAAUUACAAAAUUGACGUGGAAUAUAACGGUUCCAUGCAUUGGAAAGAAAAUGAAAAUUUACUUAUUUAUACUAUAUAUUUGUUUUUAUUGUGUUAUGCACCUGACCAUCGAUCACAAACCAGUAUUAGCUGGUGUAAUGGAGAGAUUUGAUGAGCUGGAACCAAAAGAUUUAGAAGAAAAAUUUAUAGACCGUGCAAUGAACAGCUCUCUUGUUCCAUCGUCUCUUAAGUCAUUUCUUGAUGCCAGAAAAAAGGUGAAAAGAGCCCAACGUUAUAAAAGGACAAUGGAAAAUGGAUUAACUCAUAUUGAGAAUAUGGUGACUGGCAUAUCUAAUGAUGGCAAUGAAAAGAGAUCAAGCUUACGCUCAAAGGUUUCAAACUGGCUGGGCCGUGGUUUGUCUAAAGUGGAACCCAAUUUUGGAAGAUUAACCAGUUGAUGGGAUGUUUGGAACAUUAUUUAUGCCUGUACAUGCAACGUGAAAUUUAGCAUGAAAUUAUCAAGUGUAUCAACUUACGGGUGUGAAAAUAACACGUUCCCAAAGUUAAGGUUUCUUCUAAGUGUAAUGUAUUUAGUAACUUUACAAGAUAAUCUUAGAUCUAUUAUCGCGACUUUAUUUCCGAUGGAAUCGCUUCAACAAUUAAAAAAUCUAAACAUCUAGUAUAUGAUUUAUAUCAAUCGAUUAUAUAAAGAAGCUAAAAAUAAAAAUACUCUACUUUCUAACUUUUUUUACUAAAAUCA